GAUGACGCUGGCGGCGUGCCUAAUACAUGCAAGUCGAGCGAACAGACGAGGAGCUUGCUCCUCUGACGUUAGCGGCGGACGGGUGAGUAACACGUGGAUAACCUACCUAUAAGACUGGGAUAACUUCGGGAAACCGGAGCUAAUACCGGAUAAUAUAUUGAACCGCAUGGUUCAAUAGUGAAAGACGGUUUUGCUGUCACUUAUAGAUGGAUCCGCGCCGCAUUAGCUAGUUGGUAAGGUAACGGCUUACCAAGGCAACGAUGCGUAGCCGACCUGAGAGGGUGAUCGGCCACACUGGAACUGAGACACGGUCCAGACUCCUACGGGAGGCAGCAGUAGGGAAUCUUCCGCAAUGGGCGAAAGCUUGACGGAGCAACGCCGCGUGAGUGAUGAAGGUCUUCGGAUCGUAAAACUCUGUUAUUAGGGAAGAACAAAUGUGUAAGUAACUAUGCACGUCUUGACGGUACCUAAUCAGAAAGCCACGGCUAACUACGUG
rnacentral:rRNA from 1 species